UGCGGCAGUCCAGAACCGGGAAGGGACGUAGGAAUAACGUAACCUUUUCAAUAAAAGGAUAUAAUCAGCUUCCUUCUUAGGAAAACCAUGCCUUUUUGUAGUCUCUAAGUUCGUAUUGGAGAAAGAAAUGGCAACCCACUCCAGUACUCUUGCCUGGAAAAUCCCUUGGACGGAGGAGCGUUGUAGGCUACAGUCCAUGGGGUCGCAAAGAGUCGGACACGACUGAGCGACUUCACUUUCACUUCAAGUUCGUGUAAACAAACUGCACAUUGGCGACCCCUCCCCCACCUAGCUGGUUCACUGUUCUCGCCCUUCCCUUGAAUUAGCCAAUCGCGCUAGCUUGUGAAACCACGCUAAACAGAGCGGGCUUCCCACUCAGUGUGUUCGCCGGUCACACUUGCUGGUUGUGCAUCCUUCUGCAAAAGUAAAGUUUGCCUUGCCAAUCCAUUUUCGGAGCGCGCGGCUCCGGCGGAAGACAUUUUCAACUAUUUGGGGGCUCGUCUGGGAUCCAUGUCAUCUGGAGGGGUCGAAUGAACGCUCCUCCCCACCCCAGGAGAUGCAUCCCACUGUCUCGUUAUGGUGGCCUCCAGGGAGGGGAAAUCUGCUACCCCUUGGGUUGACAGUGGACUCCGGGUCGGAAGUCCGUCGGCAACGCAGGGGAGGGGCCCAGGCAGGCACACUGGCGACCAGGUUACUCCGUGCAGGGACCAAGGAGGAAAAGAAGAUUCUCCCUGACGUCUGGACCAGGGAAGAAAACCACAGGGGACUAAAUAUUCCCCCGAUUCACACUGAGCUUAAGGAUAAAAGGGAAACAGAAGAUAAUAUCCUACACCCCUGGAAGGGAGAUUCAGAUGAGAACCUGUUAUAGAAGGCCUGCUCUGUGAUGGGCUCCUUGGACCCUGCAUGUCCCCAUUCAAUACUCCAAUACUACCAGUAAGAAAACCUGAUGGAUCCUAUGGAUUAUUGCAGGAUUUGAGGGUAGUAAACCGAGAACUACUCUGAAGUGGACACCCUGUGGUUCCCAACCCUUGUACGCUCCUCAGCAAAGUAUCUCAUAAUCAUCAGUGGUUUAGUGUUGUAGACCCGAAAGAUGCCUUUUGGACUUGACCUUUAGCUGAGAAUGGUAGAGACCUAUUUGCCUUUGAAUGGGAAGAUCCUCAAACUGGAAGGGAGCAACAAGACCACUGGAGAGACCUUCGCUAAGGAUUUACCGAGUCACCCAAGUUAUUUGGGCAAGUCCUCGAACAGGAAGAAGAACAAUUGGCCAAGCUGGGAGCCUCUAAAACCUCUGAAGGGAAAUGGCUUCUACCUGAUGGAAAAGAGAUGCUCUCAAAACGGAUUAUGAGAGAACUGUUAACUCAAGUUACAUAGAAGAAGUCAUUGGGACCCACACGCCCUGUGUGAAUCUGCCUUAAGAGUUUAUGGAUAACAAAGGUAUAUAUACCAUAGCUAAACAGCUGAAUGAAAGUUGUAUUACUUGCAGAAAGGUAAAUAAACUAGUGUUAAAAAAACAGCCCUCAGUGGGGAAAAACCUGAGUCUGAGGCCAUUUCAGAGUAUCCAAGUCGACUAUACGGAGGAUGCCUCGAGCUGGUCGCCUCAGGUGCCUCUUAGUAAUAGUAGACCGUUUAACUAAUGGGGUUGAAGCCAUCCCGUUGUCAACUGCCAUGGUUAGCAACAUAACUAAGAUACUAUGAGAGGUCAUAAUUCCCUGCUUUGGAUUAAUUGAGAACAUAGAUUCAAAUAAUGGAAGUUAUUUUAUUUCUACUCCUGUUAAGGAGUACAAAAAGUCUGGGGAUAAAAUGGGAAUAACUUCCUAAGGAAAGGUAGAAAGGAUAAUCCAGACACUAAAGAAACAAAUAACUAAAUUAAUGUUAGAAACCGAACUUCCCUGGACCAAGUGCCUCCCAGUUGCUCUUCUCAGAAUCAGAAUUGCCCCUUAUAAGGAUAUUCGAUGAUCCCCGUAUGAGAUGCUGUACGGGUUACCAUAUUUGGGUCAAACUGCUGACCUGUCAACCAUGGAAAUAAAGACCAAUUUCUGAGAAACUAUAUACUUGGCCUCUCCUCUCCUCUGUCUUCUCUUAGGUUGCAGGGCCUCUUGGGUCAGGAUCCACCCCUUGGAUUUCUGGUGCAUCUUCUUUGGCCUGGUGAUCAUAUCCUGAUAAAGACCUGGAUGGAAGACAAACUUGAACCGCCCCGGGAAGGACUUUACCAGAUGCUGCUCACAACUGAAACAGCUGUUUGCACUGCAGAGAAAGGUUGGACUCAUUACAUGCAAGUCAAAGGGACUGAAUCCCCUAAUCAAGAGGAACAAUGGUCCGUGGUCCAACAUCCCAAUCCUACACAGCUGACUUUGAAAAGACUUUAAUACCCAUCUUGGUCAUUCUGUAUACCAAGAUGCAGAUUGUUGGGGGCAGCCCUUACCUGGUCAACUUAAUUAUUAAUAUGAUCACAAGCAGGGAUCCCCUAACUGUGAAAUCUGAUGCUUGCCAGGUCUUACCUUGUGAUAACCUACACAGCUAUCUAUAGAACAUAAGUACCUCUGUCCUGAACCAGUAUGGGUCAUGUCAGGAAAUGAUCCACACCAACUCCCCUGCUCUAGUUGGGCCAAAGUAUGGUGGAUUACCCAGUAUGGGGGUUAUAUGGCUGAGCCACUUAAAGCAGCUCUCACCCUAGCGGAACUAAAAGAUAGAUUAUCCCUGACAAGGGGGGUACCCGGAGAUGAUUGUGGGAAUCUACAACAUAACCCACUCCUAUUAAUGAUAAAACCAGGGAAAACCAGUCCAUCUCUUGAGCAUUGGUAUGGACUGUGCUGUGCUUAGUUGCUCAGUCUUGUCUGACUCUUUGCAACCCCAUGGACUAUAGCCCACCAGGCUCCUCUGUUCAUGGGGAUUCUCCAGGCAAGAAUACUGUAGUGGGUUGCUAUGCCCUCCUCCAGGGGAUAUUCCCAACCCAGGGAUUGCAGGCAGAUUCUUUACUGUCUGAGCCACCAGGGAAGCCCUGGUAUGGACUAGGGGCAGACAUAUCUGGGAGAGAUCCACUGGGAAGAAUAACUAUUAAACUUGUUAAAAAUUACCUCCUAAUUAGUGCCACAGAUGCAAAACUUCUGAACCAAUUCAACCCCCAGUUCCCAAUGACCCUACUAAGGUCACCAUGGUAGAGGUGAAGGAUUUACACCAAACCAUAGAGAUCGAGACUGGAUAUGGGAAAACAAAUGCCUGGUUGGAAUGGAUUAAAUAUUCUGUCCAAGCCUUAAACAAGAGCAGUUGUUACGCUUUCGCGGCAGGUAAGCCGGAAGCCCAGGUGGUACCAUUCCCACUUGAAUGGACUUCAGACCCUAUGGGUGUGGGAUGCAUGAUAUCCCUCUUUCAGGACAAUACAGCUUGGGGCAAUAAAUCCUGCAGGACCUUGUCACUGUUGUUCCCGAGUGAAAGGUUCCAAUAGGCCCCCAAAGACUGUCAGACCCCCAUUCCAUGACGCUAAUUACACCUCGUGCCUCUCUCUGUGGGGGGAGCAAUUAGCAUUCCUGGGCAAUGUAUCUGGGUGCAGAGAAAGCCAGUCCUUUGAGAGCAGCAAUCCACCCACAUCGUCGUUGGCCCGGAUGGAUAUCUGGUGGUACUGAGGAGAACCAUUGCUCGGGAUUCUUCAGCUGACUGGCGUGGGACUUGCACUUUAGUUCAACUGGCUGUCCCUUUCACUCUAACAUUUCUACCCCCUGACUCAACCCCUGUACAAACCAGACAUGGAAGCAAGAGAGAUGUCACCAGCCGUGGUGGGUCAUCUGAUACACAUGUUUACAUUGACUCAAUUAGAGUUCCCAGAGGUGCCCCUAAUGAAUUCAAGGCUAGAAACCAGAUAUCGGAAUUUGAAUCAAUAUUAUUCUAGCGGUCCACCAUCAGUAAAAAUGUGGGUUGGAUAAACUACAUUUAUUAUAACCAGCAGAGUUUUGUCAACUGUACUAGAGACACUGUCAAGGGAAUAGCAGAACAAUUAGACUCAACCCGUAAGAUGACCACCUGGGAGAACCGACUGCCUUAGACAUGAUCCUGGCAGAAAAAGGGGGAGCAUGUGUUAUGAUAGGAAGUCAGUGUUAUACUUUCAUACCCAACACCACCACCCCUGAUGGCACAAUAACAAGAGCCCUGCAAGGUCUGACCACCUUGGCUAAUAAGUUGGUGAAAAACUCAGGGAAAAUGAUCCUUUCUCCAGUCUGAUGGAACAAUGGCUGGGGGGUCAAAUGGAAAGGUAUAAUAAUGAUCUCUGUCCUGACCUCCCUAAUCAUUGUAUUUGAAGGAAUGGCCCUAAUAGGAUAUUGUAUAAUCCCUUGUAUCAGAGGUCUUCUGGUAAGAUCAAUAGAAACUACCCUUACUAAACAGUCUACAGAAGCCCCAUCAGAACAAUCUCUUACUAUUAGACAUAUCAGAACAUGAGAACCAUCUCAUGCUAACUGAAUUUGAAAGAGUAAAAAUGUAUCACAAAAGAGGGGAAAUUUGUAGGAAUAAUGUAAUCUUUUCUAUCAAAGAAUUAUCUUAGCUUCCUUCUUAGGAAACCCAGGCCAUUUUGUAGUCUCUAAGUCCUGUGCCUGAAGAACGAUGGAUGGAGGUUUGUGACAUUGUACAGGAGGUGGUGAUCAAAACCAUCCCCAAGAAGAAGAAAUGCAAAAAGGCAAAAUGGUUGUCUGAGGAGGCCUUACAAAUAGCUGAGAAAAGAA